GAACUACAUUCUUCUGCAUCCAGUCAUUGUGGAAUGCCGGCUGACUAAGACUGACAUGGAGCUGGAGGUCCUGCGAUACACUAACCGGAUUUCCAGUGAAGCCCA